UUCACAUAUGUGAAGAGUGGCGAACGGGUGAGUAAUACAUAAGUAACCUGGCCUUUACAGGGGGAUAACUAUUGGAAACGAUAGCUAAGACCGCAUAGGUGUCAUAACCGCAUGGAGAUGAUAUGAAAUAUGCUACGGCAUAGGUAGAGGAUGGACUUAUGGCGCAUUAGCUAGUUGGAGGGGUAACGGCCCACCAAGGCGACGAUGCGUAGCCGACCUGAGAGGGUGACCGGCCACACUGGGACUGAGACACGGCCCAGACUCC
rnacentral:rRNA from 1 species